UGAAGAUAGAGAAGAAGAAGACCGCAUGCCAAGGCAGUGGUUCUCAGCUGUGGAGGAAUGCUUCGUGUUUUGUUCCCAUUACCAGCCUUCCAACUCCUGGCUCUGUCCAGUGCAGCACAUCCCAUCAGCCCUCGGGCUCGGCUGACUGAUCGAUAGACCACUUAGCGGCCGUGAGCUACACAUCCCAGUCAUUUGACCUACUGGAGCUGUGGGAAUGGGCACACAAUCCAAUAAGCAUUGAGCCAAUGAGACAUGCGAGCAAGACAAGCAACUUGAGGAACUUCCCCCUCAUUUCAGGAUAGAUACAGCACUCUGCAGAUCAGGCCUGUUUUAACUUUUGUUACACACUUAUGCCGGUGGAGAGGAGGGAGCAGUUGGAGGCCUUGGAGGAGGCUGAGUGCCAGCGGAUAAUGCACUGAGGCCAGACAGACGAUCAUAUUGAUGACUCCUGUUGGCUGAGAGAAUGGUCCAGCUGACCUCUACAAAUCCAAAAGAAUGUGUGGUGGUAAAACCGCAGGAACACCUUACAGUC